rnacentral:misc_RNA from 1 species
AACACUAACCCUCACCAUUGUUGCUGAAACACAAUUUUUUGAGAAUUAAGACAAAGAUAUAUGGUUAAUUAUCUUCAAAAAGAAAGUUAGCUAGAGAGACCAGGAAAAUUAUACAUCCCCCCCAAAAAAAGGAAUUUACACAUAUUGCAAUUUCAUAUUUUAUCCAUGAUGACAAAGAUAAACUUUGAAGCAUUUAUGAAAGAAAUUAAGGCAAUCUGGAACCUCAGCAACCAUUAAUUCCAUCUCCAACACCAUAAUUAUUGUUUGAAAGUAUCUUGCACUAGAAUAAAAUCAAGCAAGGUUAAUUUUGUGUAAGAUCAGAAGGAUAGGAAGAAAAAAAAAAAAAAA